UGCACUCACUACUGUAAAUCGCUCUGGAUAAGAGCAUCUACUAAAUUACAAACA
rfam:Salmo salar isolate Sally breed double haploid chromosome ssa01, whole genome shotgun sequence.